GGCUCCGUAGUUCAAUUGGAUAGAAUGGCAGAUUCCGGUUCUGUUGGUUGGGGGUUCGAGUCCCUUCGGAGUCAC
rnacentral:tRNA from 1 species